rnacentral:lncRNA from 1 species
GGCAGUGGCUAGAAGGAAGGAAGGAAGCAUUAUAGCAGGGGGGCUCUCUGGGACAGGGCAUAGGACAGAGAUGGCUCCAGGAGGAUUUCACAGGAAAGAAUGAGGGGUGGGAUGUAGUGAUGUCACAAGAGUCCCACUGUGACCCCUCCCCCAUCAUUGGAGCAAGGACUGGCUAAGCCUGAGCAAGGGUGGGGGAAAUAAAUAAGGCACUGUUGCCAGGGCCUGAGCCCAGCAGGAAAAGGGUGUGUGCAGAGGGAGGGCCUCGGGUCCUGCUGCUCCUCCUGGACUCCUUCAUCCCAAUCCCUUCACAUCCUUCUCUGACAAGGACUCCCACGUCCCUCCCCGGCUAACCUGGAUCCUGCUCAACCCAACACCUGCCUUCUCUCGGUCCCUGGGUUCCCGCAGGCCUUGGGGCCCCACAGUCAUAUCUGCUGUUCCUGCAGCUCGGCACAGUCACAGCAACUCUCCAAAUCAUGACGCUCAAAAUGCCACAUCUAAAAAGAACAUCCGGGCUCUGCCCCUAAGAAAGAAUUCAUGCACCUACAAAGAGGAAGGAACGGCACAGCCAUCCACCUUUCAACUCCUGAGUUUCCAUCUGCACCCUUCAACACUUAUUAGGACUUACAUGAAACUAUGUGACAUCUUUUUAUUUCUAUUAAACAAAAUACAGCUUUCUUCCUUGUAUCUGAAGAAGUUGGCACCCUCUACACAGAACAGGAGGCCCACAGUUCCAGCAGUUAUUGUAUACAUCACUGACCACGUUAAUGACUCCACAAAAUCAA